UUUUGAGCAUUUUCAAGCCAAAACACGCAGAACAUGAACACACGGGAAACGGUCCAUUUUCCCCAAAAUUCUGCAUCUUUUUCUUGAGCUACCAAUCCUUCGCCUCUCUUCAUCAAUAACAACCACCACCCGCCCCCAAGCCGCCGGACCCAUACACCAUCGGCACCUCCUCACCUUGCUCUACAACCUCCGACCAUCGCCUGCCUACUAGACCGCUGGAAACAGCACUAAUCCCAAUCCAAAACCGUGAGUGUAGUCACGAUUUUUCCUCAUUUACUUUCACAUCCGGCGACCCUCUCGAUCGUGGAGCACCACCACAACAUUCUUCUCAACUAGGCGCAUCUAGUUCUACCAUAGGUCACCCACAAUUUCGUCCAGAAAUCGGGUGAGCUUAUUGGAGUAGAAUCAAAUUUGGGGGUUGGAAAAAUUGUUGCAUGUUAGAAUCAUGGGGCUAGCACGAUAGCUAUGAUCAAGUCAAUGAGUUAUUGUGGACUGAGCUUCGGGCUUUAUACCGGAAACAAGGCUUGAACUCUAUAAGCUGAGCUUGGACGAACCUGAUCCUGAGCAUGUAAAGUCUAUAGAAUGAGUAAUUACUGGAUUGGUAUUGCUGUUGUGCAUUUGCUUAUUUCUAGAAUGAGUCGCUUGGUUCCUUUCUAGUUGGGCUUGGAUUAAUGUCGUUGAGUUUGUUGACCACACUAUCCUGUCUAAUAUAUUUAAGUAAUUCUAAUUUACUUCAAACUAUAGGCCUGGGCCAUUGAGAAUAUAUAAUUUGGUUCUGCCUCACCAGAAUAUGAUUGCUUUUUGAAAAUUUUUAUGCAAUAGCAUGUUGAAGAUAUAAAUAUCGAUAAGUUCUUCUUAUCUCUACUAGCAUAAGCUGUCGUUUAUUUCAACAUGGGUUCAUGUUUUACCGCCAAGCAUUUAUGUCAAGCCUUUGACGGGAAGGGGCUUGUUGGAUGUAUUAAUUAAUUCACUAAUUCCUAUGUAUCCUUUUAGAUGAGUUAUUGAUUAAAUAUAUUGUAAAAUCAUAUAUUUCAAACUCUUGCUUGGUGAAACCAUCAUCGUUUAGUCUGUGUCUUUUCAAUUUCAUCUUCCAUUUGCAACUCAAAAGAUGGAUCUUCCAUUUGUAAUUUGAUCUUAUGUAUGUUGUUAUUCUCUUUUGGAGUUUGACAAUCAUCUUUCAUUUCUUUUUAUACAUGUUAUGAGUUCUCUAUCUAGCAGGUUCGCAUGUGGCAAUGAGAUUCAAGGAAUAGGACAAUAUUGCAACCUACGCCAGUGGCGGCUAUUGGUGUUAGUUAACAUUGUUUGAGCACUGUACCUUUUAUUAUUAUACAUCCAAAAAAAAAAAAAAA